UACAGAGGUCCCAAGCGUUGUUCGGAUUCAUUGGGCGUAAAGGGUGCGUAGGUGGCGCCGUAAGUCGGGUGUGAAAUUUCGGAGCUUAACUCCGAAACUGCAUUCGAUACUGCGGUGCUUGAGGACUGGAGAGGAGACUGGAAUUCAUGGUGUAGCAGUGAAAUGCGUAGAGAUCAUGAGGAAGACCAGUGGCGAAGGCGGGUCUCUGGACAGUUCCUGACGCUGAGGCACGAAGGCCAGGGGAGCAAACGGG
rnacentral:rRNA from 1 species